rnacentral:rRNA from 1 species
GAUGAACGCUGGCGGCGUGCCUAAUACAUGCAAGUCGAGCGAACAGAUAAGGAGCUUGCUCCUUUGACGUUAGCGGCGGACGGGUGAGUAACACGUGGGUAACCUACCUAUAAGACUGGGAUAACUUCGGGAAACCGGAGCUAAUACCGGAUAACAUUUGGAACCGCAUGGUUCUAAAGUGAAAGAUGGUUUUGCUAUCACUUAUAGAUGGACCCGCGCCGUAUUAGCUAGUUGGUAAGGUAACGGCUUACCAAGGCAACGAUACGUAGCCGACCUGAGAGGGUGAUCGGCCACACUGGAACUGAGACACGGUCCAGACUCCUACGGGGCAGCAGUAGGGAAUCUUCCGCAAUGGGCGAAAGCCUGACGGAGCAACGCCGCGUGAGUGAUGAAGGGUUUCGGCUCGUAAAACUCUGUUAUUAGGGAAGAACAAACGUGUAAGUAACUGUGCACGUCUUGACGGUACCUAAUCAGAAAGCCACGGCUAACUACGUG